CCUACGGUGAGGCAGCAGUGGGGAAUAUUGGACAAUGGGCGAAAGCCUGAUCCAGCCAUGCCGCGUGUGUGAAGAAGGCCUUCGGGUUGUAAAGCACUUUCAGUGGGGAAGAAAGCCUUGGGGCUAAUACCCUCGAGGAAGGACAUCACCCACAGAAGAAGCACCGGCUAACUCCGUGCCAGCAGCCGCGGUAAUACGGAGGGUGCGAGCGUUAAUCGGAAUUACUGGGCGUAAAGCGCGCGUAGGCGGUCUGAUAAGCCGGUUGUGAAAGCCCCGGGCUCAACCUGGGAACGGCAUCCGGAACUGUCAGGCUAGAGUGCAGGAGAGGAAGGUAGAAUUCCCGGUGUAGCGGUGAAAUGCGUAGAGAUCGGGAGGAAUACCAGUGGCGAAGGCGGCCUUCUGGACUGACACUGACGCUGAGGUGCGAAAGCGUGGGUAGCAAACAGGAUUAGAUACCCGUGUAGU
rnacentral:rRNA from 1 species